rnacentral:ribozyme from 14 species
GAAUCCGGCGCGUCUGGGGCGCCGGCAUGGCGCUUGAGCAGCUUGGUCAAGUUAGACCUAGAGAUAUGGUAGUCCCCG